UACAGAGGUCUCAAGCGUUGUUCGGAUUCAUUGGGCGUAAAGGGUGCGUAGGCGGCGCGGUAAGUCGGGUGUGAAAUCUUGGAGCUUAACUCCGAAACUGCAUUCGAUACUGCCGUGCUUGAGGACUGGAGAGGAGACUGGAAUUUACGGUGUAGCGGUGAAAUGCGUAGAUAUCGUAAGGAAGACCAGUGGCGAAGGCGGGUCUCUGGACAGUUCCUGACGCUGAGGAACGAAAGCUAGGGGAGCAAACAGG
rnacentral:rRNA from 1 species